rnacentral:rRNA from 1 species
CCAAUUCGUGGUAAGCUUGGGUCAUAGAGACUCAUAGGUGUUAUAAAGACUCGCUGGUGUUUGUCUCCUUGAGGCAUACGGCUUUAACCAAAACUCUCAAAGUUUGACCUCAAAUCAGGUAGGAGUACCCGCUGAACUUAAGCAUAUCAAUAAGCCGGAGGAAAAGAAACCAACCGGGAUUGCCUUAGUAACGGCGAGUGAAGCGGCAAAAGCUCAAAUUUGAAAUCUGGCGUCUUCGACGUCCGAGUUGUAAUUUGAAGAAGGCGACUUUGUAGCUGGUCCUUGUCUAUGUUCCUUGGAACAGGACGUCAUAGAGGGUGAGAAUCCCGUGUGGCGAGGAUCCCAGUUAUUUGUAAAGUGCUUUCGACGAGUCGAGUUGUUUGGGAAUGCAGCUCUAAGUGGGUGGUAAAUUCCAUCUAAAGCUAAAUAUUGGCGAGAGACCGAUAGCGAACAAGUACAGUGAUGGAAAGAUGAAAAGAACUUUGAAAAGAGAGUGAAAAAGUACGUGAAAUUGUUGAAAGGGAAGGGCAUUUGAUCAGACAUGGCGUUUGCUUCGGCUUUCGCUGGGCCAGCAUCAGUUUUAGCGGUUGGAUAAAUCCUCGGGAAUGUGGCUCUGCUUCGGUAGAGUGUUAUAGCCCGUGGGAAUACAGCCAGCUGGGACUGAGGAUUGCGACUUUUGUCAAGGAUGCUGGCGUAAUGGUUAA